CUUUUUGAGGGUGAUGUCGGGCGAUGAGUUGGAUUGGGGCGGUACAUUUGUCAGUUCCAAUGUCUCAAGGUCACCACAGCCAGACCGGAAACUUGGAGUGGAGUAAAAGGUCAUGAGUUGACUUAAUUUCGGUUUCUAGACCAUGUAGGUGCAGCCCAUCUCCCACUUUGACUUUGGUAUUCGGAGUUUAAAGCCCGCCGUCUCAGGAACGUUACCACAUGGAUAGAUGGCUCGUGGCAGCCGAGUAUUCUUAGCGAUAUUCUUAGCGAUGCCAG
rnacentral:ncRNA from 1 species